CAGGGGCGGAGGUUUUGCACUCGCUCUCGGCUGGCCAAGGAUAAAUAGGAGGCGGCUGCGAGUCCUGCCAAAGCUUCCUCCCGUCGCCCAACGCGUCCGACAGCAGGCACUCGGCCCAGCCAGACAUGGACUCUCAGGAUUGCCCUUGUGCCACAGGUGGCACCUGCACCUGCGGGGACAACUGUAAAUGCAAAAACUGCAAAUGCACAUCGUGCAAAAAAGGCUGCUGCUCCUGCUGCCCAGCUGGAUGUGCCAAGUGUGCACAAGGCUGCGUCUGCAAGGGGCCCCCCUCCGCCAAGUGCAGCUGCUGCAAAUAGGGGACCCCUGGCUGCACAUCUGGGGGUGAUGCACAUCUGGGGGGGCCAAAGAAGAAUAACCUUAUUGUGUAUGUCAGUUGUCUUUUUUUAUAUAUGUGUUCAGAUUUCUUUAGUGUUUGUCACUUUGACAUGUAAUAAGCUACCUAAAUAAAGUGAUAUGUAUAUAAAGGUG